rnacentral:rRNA from 1 species
AGGGGGUGCGAGCGUUAAUCGGAAUUACUGGGCGUAAAGCGCGCGUAGGCGGCUUUUCAAGUCGAUUGUGAAAUCCCCGGGCUCAACCUGGGAACUGCAGUCGAGACUGUCUAGCUAGAGUAUGGGAGAGGGAAGUGGAAUUUCAGGUGUAGCGGUGAAAUGCGUAGAUAUCUGAAGGAACAUCACUGGCGAAAGCGACUUCCUGGACCAAUACUGACGCUCAUGUGCGAAAGCGUGGGGAGCAAACAGGAUUAGAUACCCUGGUAGUCCACGCCAUAAACGAUGAGAACUGGAUGUCGGAGGGGUCUGCCCUUCGGUGUCGUAGCUAACGCGUUAAGUUCUCCGCCUGGGGAGUACGGCCGCAAGGUUG